rnacentral:tRNA from 1 species
GGCUUUGUAUUCAUUUUGUGAUUGUAGAAUGCAAUUCUAUAGGGGUGAGUCGAAGGGAUUUGCCAAGGCCU